rnacentral:pre_miRNA from 13 species
CUGGCUCUUACCUGGUGGCAAAAAAUCUCACUGGGGCCUCCAAAUGUUCUAACCGAGUAAGUUACAGAGAAAUGCCACGCACUGAGACGAAUUCAGGAGUCCUUUAUUAG